AGCCCAAUUGCUAACUACAAGUAGGGUAGUCUGUCCUCAGAGUGCUUGUAAAUGCAUGGCAGGACUGCUACUGGGCCACCUGGGUCCCUGUCAAUGACUUGUGCUUCAGCCUUGGAGGCAGCAGCACCCCGCUUUCAGCAGAGGAUGUCUGUGGGGCUCCAGCAAAAGAAUUUUUUAAAAUGGCAUAAGCUUGCAAGGACAAAGGCAAUGGAAAAGAAGCUGACACACAACAUUUCAGAAACUGGAAGCAGCCAGGUAGGUCAUAAUUGACUUGGGAACAGAGUGAGCAGAAACCUAAGGCAAGUAAGGGAAAUGCAUCAGUAAGCUAAUUUACUCCAUAGAAUUCCAGGAAGACUUGGAAAAUUGAGGAUCCAGGGACUUAUGGAAGUGGGGACACUGGUGGGUUUCAAAAACAGGAGGGUCAGUUGAAAAUUUAUAAAUAAAGCAGUUAAAAUAUUUUCACCCACCUCAUGUCAUUGGAUGACUACCUUUCACUCACGCCGGUUCUAAACAUACACCCUCUGGAGAGGCUGAUUCCAAAGGGAUUCAGGACUCAGAUGUGGCAACCAUUGCUGAGAAAAAGGCUACAAUAUUAGAACCAGACUACCAUAUUAGAACCAAGUACAUAUUCUGCAUUGAGAAACCCCAGCUCCUUCUCAUACUCAGCUGGUAGAAUUAUGGCACCAAAGAGAUUGGAGUAAGAUCACCAGGAAAACCAACAAUCCAAGAAAAAAAAUCUAAAAACGGCAACAGGUUUUUGGAUGUCCUUCAGUGAAAUGUCCAAGCAAGAAUAUCCCCAUGAAGCUUUCCAGUCAACAAACCUUGUACACACACAGGAUUUUCACUUGGCUUUCUAAUGUCUAACUCUUCAAUACGAACUGACUGCCAAGGAUUAUCAGACAAUGUGAGGAAAACCUCUCGCAUAAAAGACCAAAAAACAGAAAAGAAACUAAGAUGACACAAGAACUGUGAGGUGAGCAACAGAAAGUCUAAAGCAAAUUCUAAUAAAUACCAGAAGGUAACACAUCCAUGAAAUGGAUGGAAAUGAGCCAUGUAAGAAUUUGACUUGUAAACAAUGUAACUAUAUUACUCCUACAAAUUUAUUUCUUUAAUUUAAAAAACGAAUUAGUAAAUAAAACAGCCAUGUGUAAUGACUCUUACAAGAAAGAAAAUUGGAGCUCAGAUUAAAGAAUAUGCCCAGAGUGACACAUUUGAAGCUGGGUGUGUCUCAUUGCAGGUCCAGACAUUUCCAGAUUUCUCCUGGAGUCCAAGGGGCAUGUCAGUGGACCCCGGAUGUUUCAAGCAGUAUCUUGGAUUGCUCUUGGGAAAAAUCUCUCUACAUUCUUCACCCUUAGGUUACUGUCACCCUUCAUUACUACUACAAAUCUUCCUCAAGACAAGUUUCAGGCUGGGGAUAUACAUUGAAGAACUUCAACUCUUUCUUAAGUUCUUAAGUGAGAGAGCAAUCUCAUCAGCAUAUUUUUUGAAAGCCACUGCUCAGAUCAAAAGCAGGCCUGGGAAUGAUUCAGGAAGAAACACUUGGCUCUUGUACCAUGAGACCUGAACCUGGAAUUUCUCUUGAGGUCUUCCUUGAUGGACGGAACGCUUUUAUUCUUCUUAUUCAAGAAAACGAGUUCACAUAGGUCAUGGUACUAGUAACCUUAGCAUAACAAGAAGGAAGGAUGGAAUUAUAAAAUGCUCUUGGGUAUGUUUUUUCUUCUCCUUCAUCCUGAAUAACCCUAGGGCUAUGUGGGGAGAGAGGAGACUACAUUCUCAACAGUGAGACCUAGUUCCUGUCAAGGUAAGUUUGUGUUUUGAAACUAGCUGCUUGUUAGCAUAUGCGUAAAUUAUAGAAAAAAGGAAAAUGUUCACAGGAGUCAAACUUGUUCUCCUCUUCCUCUUCUUCGUAAGUUCUAGAGCUGACAAACACUGGGGUAUACUGCAAUAAACCAUGUUCCAAUUCCUAUAAAAAAUACUAAUUAUUGUCAGAAUUAUUUCAUGAAUCCUGAACACAUUUGAUGCUCAUUGACUUCAAGAAAAGGGACGAGACUGGCUGCUACAAGAAGGCAUCUACAAAACAUUUGAGAAUGCCAGGAGUGCAAAGAAUGAAUUGCUAGGAUUUUCUGUGUUCACCCCUAUUCAACUAGCCUUAAACAUGGGAAUAAAAAUGUUUUAAGUACACGUACAUGAACAUGUAUAUAUGUGUAUGCAUAUCAGAGGCUUGGUCAAAACUCAGCCAACAUAGGCUAGAAACUGCUUUGCCACUCUUGGAAGCCACAGAUUUGCUGUUUUAACUUCUCUGCACUUAUAUUUCUAACUUGUAAAAUAAAAAUAGAUCACCUAAGAGAGAAGGCUGGAAUUCAACACGGAAGUGACACCUAGCAUGAAAAACAAGAGGAAAGUGAAGUAGCCUGCUCAGCUGGGAUUAGCAGGGAGUCUGGAGGGGCUCCCUAAUGUGAGGAAAGAGUAGGUGAGUAGCCCCCAGUGGCCCACCUUCCUACCAUGGACUCCUGCAAUCCUAGCCACUGGAGAGUCCUUUGACCCACACAAGCCCUGAGAAAAAAGGAAAAACGUUCACAGGAGUCAAACUUGUUCUCCUCUUCCUCUUCUUCGUAAGUUCUAGAGCUGACAAACACUGCGGUAUACUGCAAUAAACCAUGUUCCAAUUCCUAUAAAAAAUACUAAUUAUUGUCAGAAUUAUUUCAUGAAUCCUGAACACAUUUGAUGCUCAUUGACUUCAAGAAAAGGGACGAGACUGGCUGCUACAAGAAGGCAUCUACAAAACAUUUGAGAAUGCCAGGAGCGCAAAGAAUGAAUUGCUAGGACAUAGGGCACUGGCUGGAGACCCCAUGAUGGCAUUGCUUCAUAUGGGGAGCUCACACUGGGUCACCCCACCCACCCUCCCUCUUACCCCACUCUUAAGGCACUCCAGCAAGGUACCAUUUUGAAAGCCCAGCAGACUGCAUCCUACCCUGGGACCCCACAGACCUUGCAACUCCAGAUUCCUUGAGCCCCAUUGACCUCCCCCUAACGCAGACCCUGCUGCUGCUGGCUGCUGCCUCCAUAUCCAAUGUGGGGGCCACUGGAAGCUACCCACCAUCCCCAUCAGCAGGGUACCGUACAUUUAGAAGCACCCUGAGAACAGGCUACCCCACCAGCAACUACCACCUGGGGCCAAAGUGUGUGCUCCCAGUGGCCCUCCUAAGGCUUCUGCCAAUGAAAGCAACCCCAGCAACAUGGCUAGGGUGUAGCUGCUGGUCCUCCCAUCCAAGCAUUCCACUGAGGGCCUGGAAAUCACCAUGCCCCUGCCUACCAUAGCUAGUGCCUAUAUAUACCAUCGGGGGGCCUGAGGCUCACCUCUGUCUCCCUUCUCCCUAGUGCCCAUGCAGGGGCCUGGGGAUUGCUCAGCCCCAUCUAUUCCUGUUGGCGCCUGAGCACUCAUCCUGAAGGCCUGGAGAUGGGUUCACCCAACCUGCCACUACCAUCACAGCCAGCAUACACCCCCCACCCACAGACAUGAACCACCUGUGGGCCUGGGAAAUGGCCUGCAGCCACCUUGAAAAUCAGUUGGGACUACUUGGGUACCAGAGGAUUGUCCUGCCACUGCAACUGCCAUCACCCACACCAUGCCUGAUGCCCAGGGCCUAUGGACCUGCCCAUCCACCUGGCCCACAGCUGCCAUUGCCAGCACCUCAGCAAGCUGACUGGAAGCCCCCAGAUCAGCCCGCCUGGACACACUAACACUGAUGCCAGCAUAUACCACAUUUACCACCAACUGAUUUUCUAUAAAGGUGCCAAGUAUAUACACUGAGGAAAGGACACUUUCUUCACUAAAUGGAAUAGAAAAAACUGGAUAUCCAUAUGCAGAAGAAUGAAACUGGACCCAUCUCUCACCCUGUACAAAAAUCAACUCAAAUCAGUUAAGGACUUAAACAUAAGACCCAAAAUUAUGAACUACUACAAGAAAACAUAGGGAAAACAAUUCAGGACAUCAGUCUGACCAAAGAUUUUAUAGCUAAGAUCUCUAGAUCACAGGCACCAAAAAGAAAAAUAGACAAAUGGGACUAUAUUAAACUAAAAAUUCUUCUACACAAGAAACCAACAGACUGAAGAUACAGCUUGUUGAAUGGGAGAAAAUAUUUACAAGAUAUUUAUCCAACAAGGGACUAGUAUCCAGAAUAUACAAGGAACUCAAACAACUCAACAGUAAAAGACCACAAAUCAUCCUACUAAAAAGUGGGUAAAGGGCCAGGUGCAGUGGCUUACACCUGUAAUCCCAGCACUGUGGGAGGCUGAGGCAGGUGGAUCACUUGAAACCAGAAGUUUGAGACCAGCCUGGCCAACAUGGUGAAACCCCGUCUCUACUAAAAUACAAAAAUUAGCUGGGCAUGGUGGUGGGCGCCUGUAAUCCCAGCCACUGGGGAGGGGAGGCAGGAGAAUUGCUUGAGCCUAGGAGGCAGAAGUUGCUGUGAGCCACGAUUUCACCACUGCACUCCAGUUUGAGCAACAGAAUGAGACUCUGCCUAAGAAGAAAAAUGGGCAAAGGACAUGAAUAGAUAUUUCUCAAAAAAAGACAAAUGGGCAUAUUAAAAAAUGCUCAACAUCAGUAAUCAUCGGGAAACUGCAAAUUAAAAUCACAAUGAGAUAGCAUCAUACUCCAGUUAAAAUGACUAUUACUAAAAAGACAAAAGUCUGAUGCCUGUAGUCUCAGCUACGCAUGAGGCUGAGGCAGGAGUAUUGCUUAAGGCUAGGAGUUCAAGGCUGCAGUGCAUCCUGAUUGCACCUGUGAAUCACCACUGUUCUUCAGCCUGGGAAACAGGCAACAGAGCAAGACCCUGUCAAAGAAGGAGAAGGAGAAGAUGAAGACGAAAUAUAGAUGCUGGUGAGGAUGCAGAAAAAAGGGAAUUCUUGUUGGUGGGAGUUGGUGGGAAUGUAAACUAGUACAGCCAUUUUGGAAAACAGUAUGGAGAUUUCUCAAAAAACUAAAAACAGCUACCAUACAGUCCAGUAAUCUAACUAGUAUUUAUCCAAAGGAAAGGAAAUUAAUAUAUCAAAGGAAUACCUGCAGCCCAUGUUUAUUGCAGCACCAUUCACAAUUGCAAAGAUAAGGAAUCAACGUAAGUAUCCAUCAUGGAUGAAUGGUUAAAGAAUAUAUAUAUAUACACAAUGGAAUACUAUUCAGCCAUAAACAAGACUAACAUGAUGGCAUUUACAGCAACUUGGAUAGAACUGAAGGGUCAUUAUCUUAAGUGACAUAAGCCAGUCACAGAAAGAAGAAUAUCACAUGUUCUCACUCAUAUGUAAGAGCUAAAAAAGUGGAUCUUAUGGAAGUAGAGAAUAGAAUGAUAGACACCAGAGGAUUGGAAGGGUGUGUGGGUGGUGGGGGGUGAAUGAAGUAGAGGUUGGUUAAUGGGUACAAACACACAGAAGGAAAAAAUUCUAAUAUGCAAUAACAGAGUAGGGUGACUAUAGUAUAGUAUUAUAUGUUUCAAACUUACUAUAAAAGAGGACUUAAGAUGUUCUCAACAUAUAGGUAUAAUCAAUAAUGGAGGUGAUGAAUAGCCCAAAUAGCCUGACUUGAUCAUUACAUGUUCUGUGCAUGUAACAAAAUACUACAUGUAUCCCAUAAAUAUGUACAAAUAUGUCUCCAAAAAAUCAAAUUUUUGUACUGAGUAAUACAGGGAUGGUAAAUACAUUUUGAAAGGUAAUUUGGGCAAGUUAUUAAUACCUCAGCCUAGGAAUUUUGAAAAAUGUAUUCUAAAUACAUGAAAGAAUAGAGAAGUCUGGAAUAACUUAGAUUCGUAGUGUCAUACCAGAAAACUUGGGAACAUUCAAAGACAAAUGAAUGUAAUAAGAAUAAUAGAAUGAAAACAAACAGGUAUUAUUUUCAAUGUCUUUUAAAGUGGCCUUAAAAAAACCCAAAUGCCAUUGCUGGUGAGAGAAGUGAAGAGAGAAUGAAAAAAAAAAGAUAAUUCUUAGCAAGUAAAUUGAAGUUUUAAAUAAAUAACAAUGUAGAGCUGUUUGAGUUUUUAUUAUACUUUAAGUUCUGAGAUACAUGUGCAGAACGUGCAGGUUUGUUACAUAGGUAUACACAUGCCAUGGUGGUUUGCUACACACAUCAACCCAUCAUCUAUAUUAGGUAUUUCUCCUUAAUGCUAUCCCUCCCACAGCCCCCCACCCCUCGACAGUCCCCAGUGUGUGAUGUUCCCCUCCCUGUGUCCAUGUGUUCUCAUUGUUCAACUCCCACAUAUGAGUGAGAAUAUGCAGUGUUUGGUUUUCUGUUCUUGUGUUUGCUGAGAAUGAUGGUUUCCAGCUUCAUCCAUGUCCCUGCAAAGGACAUGAACUCAUCCUUUUUAUGGCUGCAUAGUAUUCCAUGGUGUAUAUGUGCCACAUUUUCUUUAUCCAGUCUAUCCUUGGUGGGCAUUUGUGUUGGUUCCAAGUCUUUGCUAUUGUGAACAGUGCUGCAAUAAACAUACGUGUGCAUGUGUCUUUAUAGUUGAAUGAUUUAUAAUCCUUUGGGUAUAUACCCAGUUAUGGGAUUGCUGGGUCAAAUGGUAUUUCUUGUUCUAGAUCCUUGAGGAAUUGCCACACUGUCUUGCACAAUGGUUUAACUAAUUUACACUCCCACCAACAGUGUAAAAGUGUUCCUGUUUCUCCACAUCCUCUCCAGCAUCUGUUGUUUCCUGACUUUUUAAUGAUCAUUAUUCUAACUGGCAUGAGAUGGUAUCUCGUUGUGGUUUUGAUUUGCAUUUCUCUAAUGACCAGUGAUGAAGAGCUUUUUUUCAUAUGUUUGUUGGCUCCAUAAAUGUCUUCUUUGAGAAGUGUCUGUUUUUAUCCUUCACCCACUUUUUGAUGAGGUUGUUUUUUACCUUGCAAACUUGUUUAAUUUCUUUGUAGAUUCUGGAUAGUAGCCCUUUGUCAGGUGAAUAGAUUGCAAAACUUUUCUCCCACUGUAGGUUGCCUGUUCACUCUGAUGAUAGUUUCUUUUGCUGUGCAGAAGCUCUUUAGUUUAAUUAGAUCCCAUUUGUAAAUUUUGGCUUUUGUUGCCAUUGCUUUUGGUGUUUUAGUCAUGAAAUCUUUGCCCAUGCCUAUGUCCUGAAUGGUAUUGCCUAGGUUUUCUUCUAGAGUUUUUAUGGUUUUAGGUCUUACAUUUAAGUCUUUAAUCCAUCCUGAGUUAAUUUUUGCAUAAGGUAUAAGGAAGGUGUCCAUUUUCAGUUUUCUGCAUAUGACUAGCCAGUUUUCCUAACACCAUUUAUUAAAUAGGGAAUCCUUUCCCCAUUGCUUGUUUUUCUCAGGUUUGUGAAAGAUCAGAUGGUUGUAGAUGGGUGGUGUGAUUUCUGAGGCCUCUGUUCUGUUCCAUUGGUCUAUAUCUCUGUUUUGGUACCAGUAUCAUGCUAUAUUUGUUACUGUAGCCUUGUAGUAUAGUUUGAAGUCAGGUAAUGUGAUGCCUCCAGCUUUAAUUUUUUUUGCUUAGGAUUUUCUUGGCUAUACAGACUCUUUUUUGGUUCCAUAUGAAGUUUAAAGUAGUUUUUUCUAAUUCUGUGAAGAAAGUCAACGGUAGCUUGAUGGGGAUAGCAUUGAAUCUAUAAAUAACUUUGGGCAGUAUGGCCAUUUUGCCAUUUUCAUGAUAUUGAUUCGUCCUAUCCAUGAGUAUGGAAUGCUUUUCCAUUUGUGUCCUCUCUUAUUUCCUUGAGCAGUGGUUUGUAGUUCUCCUUGAGGAGGUCCUUCACAUCCCUUGUAAGUUGUAUUCCUAGGUAUUUUAUUCUCUUCGUAGCAAUUAUGAAUGAGAGUUCACACAUGAUUUGGCUGUUUGUCUGUUACUGGUGUAUAGGGAUGUUUGUGAUUUUUGCACAUUGAUUUUGUAUCCUGAGACUUUGCUGAAGUUGCUUAUCAGCUUAAGGAGAUUUUGGGCUGAGAUGAUGAGUUUUCUAAAUAUACAAUCAUGUCAUCUGCAAACAGAGACAAUAUGACUUCCUCUCUUCCUAUCUGAAUACCCUUUAUUUCUUUCUCUUGCCUGAUUGCCCUGGCCAGAACUUCCAAUACUGUGUUGAAUAGGAAUAGAGAGAGAGGGUAUCCUUGUCUUGUUCUGGUUUUCAAAGGGAAAGCUUCCAGCUUUUGCCCAUUCAGUAUGACAUUGGCUGUGGGUUUGUCAUAAAUAGCUCUUAUUAUUUUGAGAUACCUUCCAUCAAUACCUAGUUUAUUGAGAGUUUUUAGCGUGAAGGGGUGUUGAAUUUUAUCGAAGGCUUUUUCUGCAUCUGUUGAGAUAAUCAUGCGGUUUUUGUCAUUGGUUCUGUUUAUAUGAUGGAUUAUGUUUAUUGAUUUGCAUAUGUUGAACUAGCCUUGCAUCCCAGAGAUGAAGCCUACUUGAUCAUGGUGGAUAAGGUUUUUGAUGUGCUGCUGGAUUUGGUUUGCCAGUAUUUUAUUGAGGAUUUUCGCAUCAAUGUUCACCAGGGAUAUUGGCCUGAAAUUUUCUUUUGUGUGUGUGUGUGUGUCUCUGCCAGGUUGUGGUAUCAGGAAGAUGCUGGCCUCAUAAAUUGAGUUAGGUAGGAGUCCCUCUUUUUCUAUUGUUUGGAAUAGUUUCAGAAGGAAUGGUACCAGCUCUUUGUACCUCAAGUAGAAUUCUGUUGUGAAUCUGUUUGGUCCUGGACUUUUUCUGGUUGGUAGGCUAUUAAUUGCUGUCUCAAUUUCAGAACUUGUUAUUGGUCUCUUCAGGGAUUCAACUUCUUCCUGAUUUAGAUUUGGGAGGGUGUAUGUAUGUGUCCAGGAAUUUAUCCAUUUCUUUUAGAUUUUCUAAUUUAUUUGCAGAGAGGUGUUUAUAGUAUUCUCUGAUGGUAGUUUAUAUUUCUGUGGGACCAGUGGUGAUAUCCCCUUUAUCAUUUUUUAUUGUGUCUAUUUGAUUCUUCUCUGUUUUCUUCUUUAUUAGUCUGGCUAGUGGUCUAUUUUGUUGAUCUUUUCAAAAAACCAGCUCGUGGGUUCAUUGAUUUUUUUUUUUUGAAGGAUUUUUCGUGUCUCCGUUUACUUCAGUUCUGCUCUGAUCUUAGUUAUUUCUUGUCUUCUGUUAGCUUUUGAAUGUGUUUGCUCUCGCUUCUCUAGUUCUUUUCAUUGUGAUGUUAGGGUGUCGAUUUUAGAUCUUUCCUGCUUUCUCUUGUGGCCAUUCAGUGCUAUAAAUUUCCCUUUAAACACUAUUUUGGGUAUGUACCAGAGAUUCUGGUAUGUUGUGCCUUUGUUCUCAUUGGUUUCAAAGAACUUAUUUUCUGCCUUAAUUUUAUUAUUUACCCAGUAGUCAUUCAGGAGUAGGUUGUUCAAUUUCCAUGUAGUUGUGCAGUUUUGGGUCAGUUUCUUAAUCCUGAGUUCUAAUUUGAUGCACUGUGGUUUGAGAUACUGUUUGUUAUGAUUUCCAUUCUUUUGCAUUUGCUGAGGAGUAUUUUACUUCCAAUUCUGUUGGUCAAUUUUAGAAUAAGUGUGAUGUGGUGCUGAGAAGAAUGUAUAUUCUAUGAAUUUGGGGUGGAGAGUUCUGUAGAUGUCUAUUAGGUCUGCUUGGUCCAGAACUGAGUUCAAGUCCUGAAUAUCCUUAUUAAUUUUCUGUCCCAUUGAUCUGUCUAAUAUUGACAGUGGGUCGUUAAAGUCUCCCACUAUUAUUGUAUGGGAGUUGAAGUCUCUUUGUGGGUCUCUAAUAACUUGCCUUUUGAAUCUGGGUGGUCCUGUAUUGGGUGCAUAUAUAUUUAGGAGAGUUAGCAUAGUUAGCUCUUUUUGUUGCAUCAAUCCCUUUACCAUUAUGUAAAGCCCUUCUUUGUCUUUUUUGAUCUUUGUUGGUUUAAAGUCUGUUUUAUCAGAUAUUAGGAUUGCAACCCCUGCUUUUUUUGCUUUCCAUUUACUUGGUAAAUAUUCCUCCAAUCCUUUAUUUUGAGUCUAUGUGUGUCUUUGCACGUGAGAUCGGUCUCCUGAAUACAGCACACCGUUGCUUCUUGACUCUAUCUAAUUUGCCAGUCUGUUUCUUUUAAUUGGGGCAUUUAGUCCAUUUACAUGUAAGGUUAAUAUUGUUAUGUGUGAAUUUGAUUCUGUCAUUAUGAUGCUAGCUGGUUAUUUUGCCUGUUGAUGCAGUUUCUUCAUAGUGUUGAUGGUCUUUACAAUUUGGUAUGUUUUUGCAGUGGCUGGUACUGGUUUUUCCUUUCCAUGUUUAGUGCUUCCUUUAGGAGCUCUUGUAAGGCAAGCCUGGUGGUGACAAAAUCUCUCAGCAUUUGCUUGUCUGUAAAGGAUUUUAUUUCUUCUUCACUUUUGAAGCUUAGUUUGGCUGGAUAUGAAAUUCUGGGUUGAAAAUUCUUUUCUUUAAGAAAGUUGAAUAUUGGCCCCCACUCUCUUCUGUCUUGUAGGGUUUCUGCAGAGAGAUCCACUGUUAGUCUGAUGGGCUUUCCUUUGUGGGUAACCUAACCUUUCUCUCUGGUUGCCCUUAACAUUUUUUUCUUCAUUUCAACAUUGGUGAAUGUGACGAUUAUGUGUCUUAGGGUUGCUCUUCUCAAGGAGUAUCUUUGUGGUGUUCUCUGAAUUUCCUGAAUUUGAAUGUUGGCCUGACUUGCUAGGUUGUGGAAGUUCUCUUGGAUAAUAUCCUGAAGAGUGUUUUCCAACUUUUGGUUCCAUUCUCCCCAUCACUUUUAGGUACACCAGUCAAAUGUAGGUUUGUUCUUUUCGCAUAGUCUCAUAUUUCUUGGAGGCUUUGUUUCCUUUCCUUCUUUUUUCUCUAAUCUUGUCUUCAUGCUUUAUUUCAGUAAGUUGAUCUUCAAUCUCUGAUAUCCUUUCUUUGGUUUGAUCUAUUUGGCUAUUGAUACUUGCAUAUGCUUCACAAAGUUCCCAUGCUGUGUUUUUCAGCUCCAUCAGGUCAUUUAUGUUCUUCUUUAAACUGGUUAUUCCAGUUAGCAAUUCAUCUAACCUUUUUUCAACGUUCUUGGCUUCCUUGCAUUGGGUUAGAACAUGCUCCUUUAGCUCAGAGGAGUUUGUUAUUACCCACCUUCUAAAGCCUACUUCUAUCAAUUCGUCAAACUCAUUCUCCAUCCAGUUUUGUUCCCUUGCUGUUGAGGAGUUCUGUUCCUUUGGAGGAGAAGAGGCAUUCUGGUUUUUGGAAUUUUCAGCCUUUGUGCAUUGAUUUUUUUCUCAUCUUCAUGGAUUUAUCUACCUUGGGUCUUUGAUGUUGGUAAGCUUCGAAUGGAGUUUUUGUGUGGACAUCCUUUUGGUUGAUGUCAUUGCUGUUCCUUUCUGUUUGUUAGUUUUGCUUCUAACAGUCAGGCCCCUCUUCUGCAGGUCUGCUGGAGUUUGCUGGAGGCCCACUCCAGACCCUGUUUACCUAUAUCACCAGCGGAGGCUGCAGAACAGCAAAAAUUGCUGCCUGCUCCUUCCUCUGGAAGCUUUGUCCCUGAGGGUCACCCGCCAGAUGCCAGCGAGAGGUCUCCUCUAUGAGGUGUCUGUCAACCCUUGCUGGGUGGUGUCUCCCAGUCAGGCUACAAUGGGGGUUAGGGACCCACUUGAGGAGGCAGUCUGACCCUUAACAGAGCUUGAACGCUGUCCUGGGAGAUCUGCUGCUCUCUUCAGACCCAGCAGGCAGGGAUGUUUAAGUCUGCUGAAGCUGUGCCCACCGCUGCUUCCCCUGGGUGCUCUGUCCCAGGGAGAUGGGGGUUUUUAUCUAUAAGUCCCUGACUGGGGCUGCUGCCUUUUUUUUCAGAGAUGUCCUGCUCAGAGAGGAGCAAUCUAGAGAGGCAGUCUGGCUUCAAUGGCUUUGCUGAGCUGCGGAGGGAUCCACCAAGUUGGAACUUCCCCUUGGCUUUGUUUACACUGUGAGGGGAAAACAGUCUACUCAAGCUUCAGUAAUGGCAGACACCCCUCCCCCCACCAAGCCCGAGUGCCCCAGGUUGACUUCAGACUGCUGUGGUGGCAGUGAGAAUUUCAAGCCAGUGAAUCUUAGCUUGCUGGGCUCUGUGGGGUUGGGGUCCGCUGAGCUAGACCACUUGGAUCCCUGGCUUCAGCCCCCUUUCCAGGGGAAUGAACUGUUCUGUCUCGCUGGCAUUCCAGGUGCCACUGGGGUAUGAAAAAUACUCUUGCAGCUAGCUUGGUGUCUGCCCAAACAGCUGCCCAGUUUUGUGCUUGAUACCCAGGGCCCUGGUGGCAUAGUCACCCAAGGGAACUUCCUGGUCUGUGGGUUGCGAAGACUGUGGGAAAAGUGUAGUCUGGGCCGAAGUGCACUGUUCUUCAAGGCACAGUCCCACAUGGCUUCCCUUGGCUAGGGGAGGGAAUUCCUUGACCCCUUGCACUUCCUGGGUGAGGCAAUGGCCCACCCUCCUUCGGCUCGCCCUCCAUGCGCUGCACCCACUGUCUAACCAGUCCCAAUGAGAUAAGCUGGGUACCUCAGUUGGAAAUGCAAAAAUCACCCACCUUUUGCAUUGAUCUUGCUGGGAGCUGCAGACUGGAGCUGUUCCUUUUGGCCAUCUGGUCAGCCACCUUUUUUUUUUUUUUUUUUUUUUUGAGAUAGAGUCUUGCUCUGUCACCCAGGCUGGAGUGCAGUGGCACAAUCUCGGAUCACUGCAGCCUCCACCUCCUGGGUUCAAGUGAUUCUCCUGCCUCAGCCUCCUGAGUAGCUGGGAUUACAGGCAUGUGCCACCACACCUGGGUAAUUUUUGUAUUUUUAUUAGAGACAGGGUUUCUCCAUGUUAGCCAGGCUGGUCUUGAACUCCUGACCUCAGGUGAUCCACCUGCCUCAGUCUCCCAAAGUGCUGGGAUUACAGGCAUGAGCCACCACGCCCAGCUGAGCUGUUUGUAUUUAAUAUUGGCAUACGUCUUCGAUAUGAACAAGUUCAUUGUAUAUUAUUUAGGGAAAUAAAGCUGUUCCAGUGAGGGGACUACAGUCAGUGCAAAAAUUUUGAAAAAAAAAUAUGGAAAGUAUUUUGUCCUACAUGUUAGGCACUGAAAUUACAGUUACUAAAUGAGAGGGAAAUUUGAGAUUUAAAAAAAAAGAAAGUAAAGGAAAUCCCCUAAAUAAUGCCUUGCAAACUGAUAGCUGACAUAGAAUAAAAAACUGAAGCAACAAUCAAGUUAAAUAUUCUCUUCCCCAAGGGACACAGGGCACUUUAGAGACAAACUGGCUAUGUUCCCAUAUCAGCCUUGACAUUUUUACUGGACAACCUUAUCCUUCCAGCCUCUUUUGACCUCUCUGUUAAAUGAAGGGAAUAUUGGGUUGAUGUAGAGUUGAAAUGAGAUAGCAAAAGGUGUGAUGCAGUCUUAGUGAUCAUUCUUCCCCUGGAUUCCUUCCUCUUCCAUUCCCCAUUUCUUUUUUUUUUUUCCUUUUUUAUUUUUUUAUUAUCUGAGGCAGAGUCUUGCUCUGUAGUCCAGACUGGAGCACAGAAGCAUGUUCACAGCUCACUGUAGCCUCAACCUCCUGGGCUCAAGUGAUUCUCCCACCUCAUCCUCCCGAGUAGCUGGGACUACAGGUGCACACCAUCAUGCUUAGCUAAUUUUUGUAUUUUUUGUAGAUGUGGGGUCUUGCCAUGUUGCCCAGGCUGGUUUCAAAUGCCUGGGCUCAAGCAAUUCACCCACCUCGGCCUCCCAAAGUGCUGCUAUUACAGGUGUGAGCCACUGUACUUGGCCCCUCCCCCAUUCCUUUCCAACCAAACUGAAACCUCCUCAAAAGGAAGAAUCAAGUCCUACUCUUUUGAGGUACCUGGCACAGUGGUCAGUAGGAUAGGCAGUUAUGGCUUAGUUGAUUUUGAAUUUGCCAUUCUCUCUGCAUGCCUCAAGUUCCUACCCUACUCCCAGGUGAAUUAUCUGAAUAAUUUUUUUCUAACCUUCUCACCUUGCUUAUUAAAAGAACAAAAACAAUCAAUAGCAGAACUGCCAGGAAAGAAAUCCAUGAUAUUAUUUUCUUUGAACAAGAGGGCAGUUGUGAUUGGUGUAGCAAUUUGGGUAGUUUGAUACAGAGGGGUGGAAUUAUGCGGUGGAAACUGUGAAGGUGAGUGCCUCCUGGUAAUGGCUCUUUUCUUGCCUUUUAUACACACAUGGGCCCCAGGAUGAUUAAGGGUGAUGGUAAACUCCGCCUCUACUCAUGUGUCUCUGUCUGUUUCUAGCCAGUGAGUAGAAUUGCAAAAUUUAUUCUCUUUUUCUUUUACCCACAUCUUUUUAGGAUGUUUGCUGGGAAUAAGGGAGUAGAAAAAUAAGGCAAAACCCUGUGCCCACAAAAUAGAGCAAAGCAAACUGUCCCCCAAAGCAAGCGAGUUUCCCAUGGAGUGGCCAGUAGAAGAGCCUCCCAUAUCCUAAGGUUCUGGGGUACAUCUGAUUAUUUUCCUGCUUUUCCAGUGAGACACUGUACAUCACUGCUGUUCACCUGAGAACUAUUCUCAUGAUUCAGCAGAGGAUCAAAACAAGGAAAAGGAAAUAUAUUAGUCUGAAAAUUCUACAAUAGGUAAUUGCACAAGAAUGAGUGGCUUACAUAUCUAUGCAGCACUAGGCUAGGCACAAUUCAAGACACAAGGAAGUCUUAAGAUACGUAUCUAACCCCCAAGAAGUUUAUAGUCCAGUUUUUAGUUUCCAGCCAAGCCUUCCAUGAAGUAUUCCCAAGUGUAGAUAUUGCCUUUGUCUAUUAAUAUAUAUAAGAUGACACAUAAUAUUGUCAAUCUACUUUGAGAAAAAAAAAGUUGUCAAAAGCCCAGAAAUCACUUUGUGUCUGUUUUCUCCUCUCUUGGCAGUCUGAAAUACCAGUGUUGAGUGAUCUACUUACCCACUGCUCCGUCAUACCACUCUAAAACAAUCAAUGGCUCCCUAUUAUGUUACUCAUUAGGUCUCCCUUUUGAAUCAAUUUUUAUUUCCCUUUAGAAACCAUUUUUGAAUCAUGGAUGACAGGUAAAUUGGCAGGGGUGGGGGUUGGUGAGAGACUUAGGUUCCUCUAGUUGUCUCUGGUGUUGACUUUGUUCUAAAUCCAUGCUUCGUAUGCUUUUAAAAAUAGUUUACUUGGCAACAUUUGCAUGUGUGUGCAAGCACACAAGUGCACCCAUGCAUGCAUGUAAAUGAAGCAAUUUCAGAAAAUGAAACUUAUGUGCAGCACACAGUGAUAUUCUCUAUUCUAUUUUAAUUCACGGUUAGUGCUCAUGGCAACCAUCUUUUGACUUUAUUAUCUACUCUGGGUCACAAGCUUAGUGUUUGAAAAAUUUUAUCUAAAGUUUACACUGAGUUUACAUUUAUAAAUUCAUUUGCUCUAAUACUGUGAAGAAUGUAGAGAAGAUUCCAAUAUUAUAAUUCCCCUAUUUAAAAUGAAAGAAAGUAGAGAUGAAUUAACAUGCCUAAGGUCACCCAGCUAAUUUGGGGUCAAAUUUCCAACAUUUCCACUGUGCCAGGUACCUUUCUCCCCCACUCCCAGCCCAGACUCACCAGCACAUUGUUGGAACAAAGAGUGGGUGUAUGAUAUAGUUUGGAUAUUUGUAUUCUCCAAGUCUCAUGUUGAAAUUGAUCCCCCAAUAUUCAAGGUGGGGCCUAUUGGGAAGUGUUUGGGUCACGAUCCUUCAUGAUCCACUUGGUGCUGUCCUUGCAGUAAUGUAUAAGUUUUCACUCUAUUCAUGAAGGAGCUGGUUGUUUAACAGCAUGGCACCUCCUCCCUGCCUACUUGCCACCUCCUCCCACUAUGUGAUACGCCAGCUCCCCUUGUUUCUGCCAUGAGUUAAAGCUUCCUGAGGCCUCACCAGAAGCCAGGCAGCUGUAGAGCCGUGCAUGCUUCCUGUACAGCCUGAAGAACUCUGAGCCAAAUAAACCUCCUUUCUUUAUAAAUUACCCAGCAUCAGGUAUUCCUUUAUAACGAUACAAAUGGACUAACAGUAUAUUAGUUAGGAUUGUUUCAGGGGCAAAUAAUAGCAGGUUCAACUAAAAUGGCUUAAAUAAUAACUAGUUAUUAUCUUAAUAAGUUUCAAAGUAGGGCUGAUUAGUUCAGCAGCUCAAACACAUCUUCAAAGACUCAUGUGCUAUCUAACUUCUGCUUUGCCAUUUUCAGUAUGUUGUCUGUGUAUUCAGAUAGUUCCUUUCGUGGCCUCAAGAUAAUAGCCUAACCAUGACAUCUUUGAAAAUAAUUUCCAAAGCCCCGAAGAAAAAAUGUUCUGUUCUCUCUUUUCUUUGUAAGAGUUGGGGAUAUUUUCCCAGAAGUCAACCUGUGUCUCACUGUCUACUAUUGCAGCACGGCAAGCCUGUCCUAACCUAAUCACUGGCAAGGGUAGAGGAAUUACCAUAAAAGGCUCAGAAUUAGCCUACAGAACUGAGGAGAGGCUGGAUCUCCCUGGAAGACUUGACUUCACACGACCUGAACAAAAUCCCACUUAUGUAUGCCAGGAAUAAAGUGGGGGUGGAGGGUUGGUAAUAAUUAAGUAGGCAACCAAGUGUGUCUUUAAUAACGAGUAUGGAUGAAAAUUCCCAGACAGUGAAGUGUCUGUCUCUUACCCUUCCCGUACCCUUUGUUUCUAGGGAGAAUGCCUGAUUCCUUCAACUUGUAUUCCUGUUCCAUAUUCUUUUCAGCUGCCUUUGGCCCCUUAACUGUCUCGACUCCUGCUUACUUAAUGUCUAAUCUAUUCUAGGCCAAUUCAUGCCCUUCCCACCCAUUCUUCACCAUCAACCUCAUUCAUUCAGGCAAUUACUUACCCACUUGUCUUUCUCUUUUCCUGUUAAAUGAAUACUUGCUAUAUGGCAGACACUGAACUAAGCCCUGGAAAAACAAUGAUGCAUAAGGCACAGUCCCUACCUCUAAUAGCCAAAGGUUGAUUUUAAAUACUUAGUGCACUCCAAUAUAUAUACAGAAAUUUGACAUCUGCUUUUCUGAAUGUACAGGGUGCUCAGCAUCCCUGGAAACAGUCUGAGGGAGGGAUCAGAGUGACAGACUUUAUUUGGGAAGUACAUGCCUUUGGGUAGUAGGGGUGAGGAAAAAAAGGUCAAGGCAAAAUGAAGCAAGUAAGAACAAAGAAAUAAAGGAAAGUAGGGAAAACAUUUCUCUGCUGGCUACUGACUCACAAGGAGCAGCCAAGAGACACUGCAGGUCACUUGGUAGGGCGCUCUUGCUGACAUGGAACUGCAGGAUCAUCCUGAUGGGCUUCAAGGGGGAGGCUAUGCCUCAGAAUAGUCUUGGGAGAGAAGAAAUUAAUUUACUGGCUCCUUCCCAUUUCUAGUUUCCCAGUAAUCAAAGUUAACCCCAUGGAGAGUUACCACCACUGAAUUUCGGGGUUGUGUUAUUUGGCCCUUUGGUGGCCCCUUGUGAUGGUAGAUCCCAAGCCAUCUUGGGGUGGGAUGUGUGGUUUCACCCAGUUAUGAAAGCAGAGGGCCACUCAGCUGUGUGAUUAGCAGAGUGAACCUGAAUGCGGCACUUGAAGACUGAAAAGGUGUUUGAUUUCUGUUCAUUACAUUAAUGGUCUUGCAGGGAUAAUGUGGACGUAAUUUCCUUCUGGUUCUUCUCUCUUUUUGCAACAUUUAAAUCUUUAACCCAUGCCUGCUUGUGAUGCCAUGAUGCCUGAUGGCGACUCCUAAUCCCAGGUUUCCUCUGCUGAAGGGAGCUAAUAGCUGGCUUCACUAUUCCUUUCUUGCUUGAUAGACAUUGGCCAAACAUGGGAUCCUACUGUUCCUCAGACUGCCUGUGGCCCUCACUAGGUCAUCUGUUGUAACUCCUGUAGCAACAAGUAUCCCUUUGAUUAAAUGAAAUACAUUAGAAAGGUGGUUGAGAUUAUUAACUUGCUUCUUAAAAAAAACAGAAAUAGAAAAACACCUCCAUGAUGUCUUGAACAGUGUUUCUCAAACUUUAUGGAGCAUACUUAUCACCUGGAGUCCUUGUUAAAACACAGGUUCUAGGGUCCACCCCUAGAGAGUCUUUUCCUGGAGCCUUGGUCUGGGGCUAGAUUAUAAUCUAACAAGAUCCUAGUUGACGUUAAUGUCAGCUCAAGGACCACAUUUUGAGAAGAGUUGGUGUUAGAGGGGAAAGAAUAGUCAAAUGUUAAUAUCCGGACUUAAUUCCUUACUAGCAGGCAAAAAGGAAUACAUUGAUGUUUAAAAAUUGCACUAUCUAGGCCAGGCGUGGUGGCUCACGCCUGUAAUCCUAGCACUUUGGUAGGCCAAGGUGGGCGGAUCACCUGAGGUCAGGAUUCGAGACCAGCCUGGCCAACAUAGCGAAACCCCAUCUCUACUAAAAAAUUACAAAAAUUAGCUGGACGUGGUGAUGCAUGCCUGUAAUCCCAGCUACUCAGGAGGCUGAGGCAGGAGAAUCACUUGAACUCAGGAGGCAGAGAUUGCAGUGAGCCAACAUUGCGCCACUGUAUUUCAGCCUAGGUGACAGAGUGAGACUGUCUAAAAAAAUAAAAAUUAAAAAUCUCACAAUCUAGUGAGAGAAAGAAUUUUUUUAAAAAAUACAACAUAUUAGGGGAAAUAUUUAUUAUAGGGUUGUGUAUAAAAUACUAAUGGGAAAGGCUUUCCAGACAAAGGUGUAUUUAAACUGGAUCAAGAGGGAUGAGCUGUUUUCCAGGCAGAGAGAUGUAAAGGCAAGGUGUAAAGGCAGCAUUUAGCUGAGGCACAGGGAUAUCUAUGUGGGGUUGAUGGGAGGAGUUGGGGAUGAUUUAGUUUGAUUAGAUCCUUAAGGGCCUUAUGUGUUACGUUAAGCACCAGGAACCUGGUCCUGUGGGGAACAGAAGAUAUCAUCACUGUCCUUGGAUGCUGUAGUACAAAGGGUCCAACUUCCUUCACUUUCUCCCAGUUUUCCUCAAUUGUUUUCUCUCACCUUUGCUUGUUUUCAACUUUUCCAGUCCAUUUAUUAGAUAUUUUAAUCGCUGAUCUCAGCAAUUAUUUUUAGAAUAUAAGUUUUCAAAGAUAUUCUAUGACUACUGCAUAAUUCCAUGUGAUACCAGACACGGCUUCAAAAAGCACAGGGGGUUGGGGUCAGGGGCUGCUUCCCAAGAGUCUUCUAUGGUGGACAGUUCCCUGGACUGCAGCAGCUGUCCUGAGCUUUGUUCUCCACCCAUGAACCACUGACUUCUGCUGGGUAGAGACGGGUGUCACCACCCAGCCUCCGCUUGACCCACUGUGGCAGGGUGCAGUUGCCUGGCGUUCUCUGCCACUCUCUUCCCAGAUGCUGUAACUGAAUAGCAGGAAACAGAAACCAUCAGUGUUAGAGAGAAAAUGAGCAAAGUGUGAAGAAGCUGCAAGGUGAGAGACGGCUUGGUUCUCUAACUGAUGCAGCCUGGUGGUAAAACAGUGCCUUGCAUGGAUGGGUGCUGAGCAAGUGUUUGCCACUAUACAUUUGGUCGGCUUUUUGGUUCAAAAACAAGGAGCGAAGGAAAAGCAAUUCUCAGGUGAUAGAACCUUUCAGAAAAUAUGUUUGCAUGAUUCAGGUCCUGAAACCAUGUCUGUUGGCUUGGGAUUUGUAAGCAGCUGGCAAACACCCUGCUAAAACAGCCAUGAUGGUUGAAGGGGCUCCAGCCUAAGCCGGAUGCUGCCCGUGCUCCAUUCCUUUCAUUGAGGCAUACAUCCUGCAAGAAGUUCAGCUAAGAUCUGUCUUGCCUCAUGUUGUGAGUCUCUGCCGGGCAGAGGCACGCUCCCAUCUCUGCUCUUAUCUCUGCUCCUUACUUUCUUGACAGCUUCUUUCAUUUUCUAUAAUUUUUUAGGGGGUCAGGGGCUCUUUAACUCCAAGUUCCCCAGUCAAUCUGGAGAAUUCUGACCAUAUAGCAAGGCUAUGCAGACAUAGGGUGAGUUAACAAAUGCAUAUGAUGUAAUAUCUGUCACCUAGCUUUGGACCAUAAAAAUUACUGAAAUCUGUAAUGAAGGAUGGUCAAAGGAAAUCAAAGGCAAUGCAACAGUCAAUUUUGGUCCUCAACAGAAAUAGGAUGUAGAGAUAGCAUUAGGACUUCUGUCAAAUCUGUAGUUUGCAAAUCAUUAAUCUCAGUAUUUAGCCUGUGAAUAAUCUUAGCCAAGUCAAUUAACCUUCUUGGGCCUCACUUUUCAUAGCUGCAAAAUAGAGGGAAUCAUAAUGCCAAUUGUGGACCAUAGCAGGGUCCUGGAAUGGCAGGGUGGGGGCUUGCAGCAGGGAGCAAAUAUGACUCUCACUUUAUAAAAUUUUCAAGUGCUAUAUCUUGUCAUUGAAACAGCUAAGCGAGAGCUGGGAAUAGACAUUCAGGGAUAGCACUGGAACACAGAGACUUCAGGAAAAAAUGCCUCUUUCCCUGUGUUCCCACAUAGGAAGUAUGGGAGUUCCUGAUGACUUCCUCUUGGAGACAACUUCCUCAACUUCCCACAUCUCAAAAUGUUCAGUGAACAUUGUUGGAUCUAGAUGUUGCCAACCAUGUGUGGAAGGUUAAUGGACUAUUAUUUAAUGUAUGCUCUUCCAAUAUCUUUUUUCGUCUCCAUAUUUCAAAUAAUAGCCAGGGUUUUUGCAGAGUGGAGAGCAGAAGCAAAUGGAAGUCAGAACUACCUCUAGUCUGUUUCGUUUUUGUUUUUAAGCCUGAUCUCAUUGGAGAGCAAAAGAAGGAAGGAGAGAGAAGAAGGAGAAUAUGUUGAGAAUUAGGAAAAGAAGAGAACUGCUUUUUUUUGUAGUAAUUUCAGUAGGUAUGUCUUAGUCUCCUUAGACUUCUAUAAGAAAAUACCAUAAAGUGGGUGGCUUAUAAACAACACACUUACUUCUCACAGUCUAGAGGCUGGGAAGUCCAACAUCAAGGUUCUGGCAGAUUUGGUGCCUGGUGAGGACCUGCUUUCAUUUUCACAGAUGGCACCUUCUAGCUGAGUCCUCACAUGGUGGCCAGGUUGAACAAGGUCCCUUGGGCCUCUUUUAUAAGGGCGCUGAUCCCAUUCAUGAGGACUCUGCCUUCAUAACCUAAUUAUCUCCCAAAGGGCCCCCAUCUCCUAAUAGCAUCACCUAGGGGUUAGCAUUUCAACACAGACAUUCAGACCACAGCAAGGUGUAAUAAAACACCAGAAGGAUAGGCUCUUUUGAUGCACACACUGUGUGGAAGCAGGGCCCCAAACCAGCAUAUAUUCCUGGUACACCACAUGUGACCAGGAAGCUAAUAGCUGAGGGACUGUAAGGAACCUCUGCUGGAACAACACAGAGGCCUGAUACUCAGAUUAUAUUGGAGAUAAGAUAAAUUUUAUGUUGGGAGAGAGAGGAGCUGUGGCAGUAAUGAGAGAUGGGAAUUUCCAAUAGUGUGAUUGGCUGGAGCCCCGAGUCCAGAUUAAUUGAUUUAAAGGAAAUAAAGUAGUAUUUCCUAUGUGUACAAAUUCAAGAUUUAUACCCAUAGCACUGAGUUUGACCUAGAGUAUUUGGAGCUCUCGGAGUAGCUGGGUGGGAUGCAGGACCCAAAUCAGAAGGAUGGGAAAGCCCUGGUAUGAUUCCCCUGACACAAGGUUGUUUUCCCCUUGGUAGACAGGUGGUACUCUCUAGCAACAGGGAAUGUUUUUGGUUUUGGUUUGUUUUUUGGUGGAAUGUUGCUGUUGUGGGUCCAAAGCCGUGUGCCUGAGGAAAGGUUUCCAGGUCAGAGAUUUUAAUGUGAGUUCAGGCCCACCACCACCCAAAUUAGCCUAAAUCAGCAAGCGUGGCAAGUCAGGAAAAGAAGGGAGUUGCUUCCUUAGUUCCAUAGUGUCACUUUGGGGUCAUGGCUUUGGGGAAGGGAGCUUGAGUUUAAAACAGUUAUUCCCAGGAAGGCACAAAUUUGGCACCUGUUGGCUGUCAGGACUGUUGUGGCAGGAGAAAUGGUGGAGAGGCUAAGCAUAGAUGCUCUGUUUAAUUACCCUUAUUCUGCUGGCAUGGUCUGGGGAUGAUCUGGGGAUUAAAUUUGUGCUGAUUUCUUUACUCUCAUUAUCAUGACAAAUGGAUUGUCAUUUAGAAAAAAGUAGAAUUUGUGAGGAAUAAGCAAACAGAGUUUUUAGUUAGCAAAGAGAUAGGAAACUCUAAACUCUUUAUCCAGGAUCUUAGUAAGCUCAAAAACAAAAAACAAACAAAGUUUUUAUGGUAUCAAGUUAAAAACUCUUUAAUAUCUCAAAAUAUCUUAUCAGAUUGAAUUAUAUCCAAUAUCAAUUUGAUGGCUAUAUUCAACACAUAUUAAGAACCUACUGUGUACCAGGCAUAGUUUUAAGUGCUAGUGAUAUAUUGGUAAGCAAAGACCUUGCUCUCAUGGAGCUGUGGUCUGGUGGGAGAGACAGAUAACAAAAACAAACACGUAUAUAAAUCUGUGAGAAGUGUUAUAAAGAAAAUUGAGCAGGGUUAUGAGAAUAAAGCUACAGAAUGGGGGAUAUCUCACACAGGAUGGUUAGCAAUGGCUCUGCGGCUCCAGGCCCUGCCUACUCUCUCACUUUUCCUCAGUUUCUCCAGAUGUCUCAAGCUCAUUUAUGCCUCAAGAUCUUUGCAAAUGUUUCUUGUCUGGAUCCCCUUCCUCUUCCUGUCAACUUUUUCCCUAGUUACCUCUUACAAUCCUUCAGAACUCAGAUGCAAAUCACUUUCUCAAGGCCUCAAGGAAGCCUUCUGUGGCCCUCCGGAACAGAUCAAGUUCAGGUUCCUGCUUAUUUACCCCACUGAGCUCCUUCAUUGUACUGAUCACAUAUAUAAUUAUAUGAGUAUUGUUUAAGCCUUUGUCCCCUCCAGACUGUAAGCUCCAUGAAAGCAAACACUGUGUCUCAUUAACUUAUUGUUGAGUCCUUAAAACUUUGUAGUUUGCGGAGUAGGUAACCAAAAAUAAUUGUCAAGUAUCUGAAUAAUUUUCAAUAUCCCAGAAUAUUCAAUUAAGUAAGUAUGGAAGGCCCCUUUCAAAGCUUGCUUAGAAAACACCAUGCUUAAUCUUAUAGGCCAUCUAAGUAAUUUUGGUAAUUUUUAAUGUAGCAAAAUUACUCAAGUUGGCUUUAUUUGGUUAUGAAUAUCAGUACUAACUUAUGAUGUCACUAUCCUUUCAUUUCAACCACGUUCAGUAUCCUAAGAGACAUGCUGAUUGAACUAUAAUUUAAAAUGAAUAAUCUUUUAUUUGUAAAAGAUUGAGUCAUAAAUAGGCAGAAUCAACCCAUGCUUUUAUUUUCAUUGCAUAUAAAAAUUUCAUAUGAAGGUAUUGAUGUACAGUACUAUCCCCGUGGGCUGUAAGAGAGGCUAAGAAACCACUAAAAGAAUAAUCAUUUGUAAUUCUCACACACAAUUUACCACUCUGAAAAUAUAUCCAAAGAAAUAAAAACAACUCAAAUCAGUUAAGGAUGUUUUUGUAAUUAUAGUGUCCCCUUUGCGUUUAAAUAGAUGGGUUUACAUAUAUGUAAGGACAUUUGGUUUAUCUUAGUGGAAGAAAAAUUUUAGGAUUAAAAAACAGUAUUUUCUCUUUAAUGUAUUCUCUUAACAUGUCAGGAAGCUGAUGAAUAGAUAACCAACACGAGUAAACUCUGGCUCCAAUUUCAAAUCAAGUCCAUUUUCCUAUGAGCUCUAGAAGCCAAAAGGACUUAAAAAAAAGAAAAAGAUUGUUUAUAAUCACUGGGAAAGAAUAUAUUUCCCCAGUUGUGUUUCCGAGUUAAAAAAAAAAAAAAAGGAAAUAAUCAAAUGCAAGUAGCUGAAGUAGUUCCUGAUCAACAGAUGGCAAACAACCAUCACACAUGCAGUGCUGCUCCCUGGCAAGAAGUACUUAAGAGCUUCUGUCUCAAAAGGGUCUCAGAAUCUUUCAGAGGUUGUCUGUGGUUUUGUAAAAUCCACCUAUUGGCAGAAUUCUAAUCAAUUAAAAGCCUGGAUGUAAAAUGCCCAGCCCUAGCUCCACUGUUACCUUUCAAAUGCAGCAAAACAGAAGAAAAUAUUGGUUAAAGUUAAGGCACAGCCCUGGGACCAAAGACCUGCAGCUAUGUUUUUUUAAAUUUAUAUAUCUUUAAGUAUUUUAUAGUUUUCUUGAAUCUUCCAUAAACAAGCUCUAAGGUGACAAGACUAUAUUACAGGAGAAAAGAAAAAUGUACAGAGUAUGUAUACACACCAUUCAUUCUCUCACCAAGAGUUUCCAAAUAUAUCAACACCAUCCCAUCAUGGGAUGAUGUUUUAAUAAGAACAGAUAAUUUACAAUUAACAUUACAGUAUGUACAUUGCAAUAAAUACAUGGUUGUAAACAGACAAACAAGACUGUAUUACAGGUAAGGUCAUUUGGUGAGAAAAAAAAUGCAUGGCACAAAAAAUAAAUAAUGCAUUCAAAAAUUAUCAUAAAGCUUUCUGUAAAAUCCAUUUCAUUCAAGUUUUUUCUUUCCUUGUCUGUAAUUUGUUCUAUCUACAUUAUUGUGAAUUUUAACUGAUAUAAAACAAAAUUAAAACAGCAUUAUUGUGUUCAGUAACUUGCAAGCUGAAAUGCACUGGUUUUACACAAACUUGGACAUUUUUUUCCCCAUACAGUACCCAGAUAUUGCAUUUUCUUAUGGCAUUUUAGGAAAUGUAAAGCCACUUGUAAAAGGAUAUUCUUUUAUUCUUUUUUAAAGCAGUAUAUAUUUCUGAAGCACACUUUGGCAAGAGAGAAGGGCAAGGAUAAGCAGAUUGUACAGUGCAUUAGUCCCUGUCUCUUGGAUAUUGAGCCUUUUCUGCAAUUUGAUUGUCCAUUAGUGGGUAUCUUUACAACACGGUACCAUUAAAAACCAACAAACUGGAAGAAAAAAAAAGAGCCUCUCUUUAUUAGUGCAGUUAUAAACCCUUUACCCUUUCAGGUCUGGAUUUGUUAAUGACAUAUUGCUGCUUUUUAUUUUAUUCAUUAUUAAGAUUCUAGGCACUCUGUGGGGGAAAUACUAAGUGUAGGGAGGAGAGGAAUGAGAAUGUUUUGGAAAGAGGAAUAAACUCUAGACUCUUUACCUUUCUUUCUAGACUUCACUCAGGGACAAAUAAAAUUAAAAGAAACAAGUUCCCAAAUAUUCUUGUGAAACUACUUGGUCAAACAUACGUCUUUAUUUUUUUCUUAUUUGAAAGAUUACCAUCUGAUCUUUACAGAGGAAACAGAGUAGAAACCUUGCAAUUAACUAGUUGAUUCCUCUUCUGCUUUAUGUAAAAGAUCAGAGUUAUAAAGACAUAAUUUUUAUUUCAAAGGAUCUAAGCAUCAGCUAGAUCUCAGGGGACUGAAAUGGGGACUCUCUUCAGCAUGAGUCAUUUGCCUGGCUGAUGACUUACUUUCCAGUCCCCAGGAGGCUCCUUGAGAAGUUCCACAUAUAAAUGCUUUUCAGAGUUGUAAUUCUUCUUAAACGUUUGAUUUUCCACUUGUCAGAUACCCACUUUGGCUUCUAUCUAUCUCAAUUCUUGAAUAUCAAUGUGAAAAAUGAUUAUUUGGGCUUUAAAGUCUUCAUAGAGAAGGUAAAGAAGACUUUAUUAAGGCUGACGUGGGGAUAAAGUCAGAAUUAAAUGCCCCAUGAUGCCAACUGCUAUAAUCAGGUAAACACUAGGAAUUAAUCUCUAAAACUGUAAUACAGUUCCUGGUGCUGAAAUCAGCCAAGAGUGAUCUCUAAUUUUUUAUUUAACCAGAAUUUUUACCAAUAUAAUAAAUAUUUUAGGAUGCAUCACAGUACUAACCCUCUGGUGCCAGUGGCAUCAUCUUCUUUCCCUCCAUGUGUUUAAAGAAGUAGUUCCCCUCUGCAAGAUAUGCUUAUGGAUCGAGGAUAAGUGAUAAAGGACUUCCUACACGUUAUGUGGCUGUCCAUUAAGGAAGAGUAGUUGCUACACUUAAAACCGUUUCUCAGGGAUGUUCCUGAUAUAGUUCUUAAUCCCAUGGUGAAAUCAUUAAAACCAAAUAGGAUUAGUUGUAUUGGUGUUUGUUAAUAUAUUGUUAAUAUUCUUAAAAACUGCCUAGUUGGCUGUUUAACUUUUCUCUGUAAACCAAGAGUAAAAGCUAGUCAUGAUAUACAACCUCGUGGUUGAAAUGAAUGUUAACCCUAACUUAACUACCUGUUUCUUUUCACCGGUGACAAUGGUAGUGAUAUAUUUGACAAGACCUCAUCUAGCAAACAUGGAUAAGGUUCAGACACACGCUAAAUUAUAAAGCAGCACAAGGGGAAAAACCUUUUUCUUACUAUAACUGGCUGUAAAAACAAUAAAAAUGAGCAUGAAAUGUGUGGAUUAUUAGAGCAUGAAAUGUGUGGAUUAUUAGAAAGACAUGCACUUGUGAAAUGAACAUCUAGUGACACAGCAAAACGUUAUUAGGAGAUACUAAGUAGGAAAACAUCUAAAAAAGACUGACCAUUUUAGCUACUGGGUAUUUAUAUAUCUCCCACUUGCUUCAGACAACACGAACUGAUGACUGAGUUUGCAUGAAGCUUAAGACACAUUUGAUAUAACACACAUAAAAGUAUUAUAGAACAAAUAGUCACUUUGCACAUGAAGAAAAACACUGGUGAAGAGCAACUCUGCUUAUCUGGAAAGAGUGAAACAAAAUGCAAAGUAAAUAAUAAAGACUUACAAAAAGGGUUUCCUGCAACAUAAAGUUGUUUUUCUCUUUUAAAAUAUGGAAGUCAUUGGUAUAUAAAACAAACAAUGAAUCACUACAAAUCAGUUAAUUGCUAUGAACUAUAAGGUGCAAGUAAAAUUCAUAAAUUAGAUUUUUAUCCAGUGUAGCACAGAUUUGUACUGAAAACUUGCAAGUUACUCCUUAGAAAAAAAUAACCAGUGGCAGAUGAAGUUCUGAACAUAGUUUUUUUUAAAUAUAAUACCUCAAUACAUUUAAUAAUAAAAGUAAGCUCUACAAAAAAUCUGUUUUACAUAUCAUACAAAAUGUAGAGGUCAGUGCAGCUCACUGAACCACACUAUUCAGUCAUGUAUCAGGAAGACUUGAAAUUAGAAAAUUAUGCAAUUUCUGUGGCUCAUCCUCCUCCUACUGGUAACAGAUUCGUGCUAUGUCCUGUUCUUGACAUAUUUGUUGCUUCGUCCAUUAAGUUCACUCUGUGCAAUGCCUUUCUUCUGAAAAUAUUGCAAACAAAUAAAAAGGAAUAGAAACCCCAAGUCCAAUAAACUUUUGGGCUGCCUGAUGAGUCACACUCUCUUGAAAAUAAUUUGGAGUAGAUUUUAUCUGCUUUGUCAGCUCUACCAAGCUGAAAUCUUGUUAAAAACGCUGUUCGUGAAGAUGUCCACCUUGCUCGGAUGACAUGGAGGUGAAAAAACUGGUUACGAUAUUCCUGAGCGCUGGACUGAGUAGUCAAGGUCAGUUUUGUUCAACAAACGUCCUGGCAGAUGACAGUGAGGUGUGACCGUGGUUGUGGCAUGUGACAUGCACUUUGGAAACAAUUUUUCUACUUAAAAAAAAAAAAGGCAUGAAAGUUUUUGCACUGUUACGUGUCAGGAGAACGAUCAUCUAUGACACAGGCUUCAGGCUGGCUUUCCUCUUCUUCCCCUACUGCCUCCUCUUCAACCUGUUCAUCAAGGGGAAUUUCAGUAGACUCUGAGUCUUGAGUACAAAGAGUCUUGGAGUCACUGCAGCUAGUGUCUUCUUCCACUUGACUGCCACUGUCCUUUUCCGUGUCUGACUCACCAUCUUCCUCUAAAGUUAGUUCAAACUGGAAUUUCUCAGUUUGACCCUGCCGGCCCUCCUCUGGGUCAUCAGGUGCAGGAGAGGGGCUCUGAGGGAUUGUGCUCUGGUACCAUUCACGAUUGUCCUCCAAAGUGUCCAAAAUAUCCUGGGCGUCAGGGUGGACGAGGUCUGCCCAUGUCUCCCAGAGGGGAUGAACAAUAUAGUCUAUGAAGCCCACCUAGUUAAGAAAAAAAUCCAGUAUGAGUAGAGGACUUGGGACUAAGAAACAAUGGAAAAGCUUAAUUAGAUCAUGGCCCACAAAUAAAACACUGAACAGAAGACUACUAAACUUAGUUUGGUAAAAUUGUCACUAUUUUCAACAACAACAGACCAUUUAAAGUAAAGUAUUGCUACUAGCUGGUCAAAAUUAGCUUCUAGAACCUUUGGUUAAAGAGCAUGUUCUAUAGCAUAAAAAAUUUUCCAGUUGUUGACAUGGUAGGGCUUAUUUUACAAUCACCAAUUUGUAGGUGAAUCCAGAUAACUGAAAUAAUGCCAUGUGCUCUAUGUAUAUGAAUAUAUUAAAUGAAUAUAGUCAUAAUAAAUGAAUAUGUCUUUAGAAUAUAUAUAUGACUAUAUGAAUGUAAGUCAUAAGAAUGAAAGUUCUUUGGAUCAUAAAUACUAAGGUGAAAUUGAGCUUGUCAAAAACAAAGUAAUUUUAAAAAUCCAGUAAAAUACUAUCAUAUGUAAUACAAAGUAACCAAAUGCUAAAGCGGUAGCUCUGUUCUCUCUGAAAGCUAUACACUUCAUGCAUUACCUGUGAUUUUUCCACGGAAGCAUUGUGCUUGUCACACAUGGGGCUUAUCUCCAUGCCACGUUCCCUCUCUCGGUCUCCUUGGCGGAAGAACUCCUCCAUUAUCCGGUCCGUCCACUGGCGGUACAGCUGGAGAGGCUUUGUUGGGUUGCUCAGAUCUGCACAGUGCACCAUAUUCUGAAGAACCUAAAAUAGAUGGAUGCAUUCUCUAUUCACUCCUGUUCCUUUUUUUUAAAAAAAAAAACAAAAAAAACUAGAAAUUCACAUUGGAUGACUGCAACACUUAAAAAUACACGUAGUGUAAGAUUUAUUCCAAACAGCUCAACCAUGAUGUGUCUGUGUAUAGUUCACACUUGUAUUAAUAGUUCCAAAUUAUGCCACUUCUACUGCAUCUAAAUAGCUUAAGAGAAACUGUUUAUGUGCAUGGCUGACUAGAUUCAGAGCUGCUUAAGUGGCUGGUUCUGUGGGGUGUUUGUUUGUUAGUUUUUUUAAUUAAUGUAGAUGCAAACAGAAAGACCAGUAGAAUUUUACCUGGUUAAUUCUCAGGAAUAAAAAUUUGGAUAAAAAUCCUGCCUACAAUUGCUGAAAGUAUAAGGUGGGAGAAGGAAGAAAUACAUCUUAUCAAAGCUGAACACGCAGACAUGUGCACAUGUGCACAGACACACACACACAGAGCAAACUCAAACAAGGCUUUACCUGAAUCCUAUCGGAAUAAUUAUCAAGAAGAAGAACUCCAGAGCUUGUCACUUUCUUAGUUUCAACCAUAGUCUUCAAAUCAGCCAGUAGAUUCAUGUGUUUUGACAUAUCUGUUGCAAGUACCUUAAAAUAUAGAGUAUAUUAUUAAGUUCAGAGAAAACAGAAUUUACACAUGAAAAUAUUACGCAGAAUAUAAGAAUGAAAAAGGAAUAAAACAACACUAUGCCUUUUAAUGACAGUGGAAAAUCCUUACUACUCCUUGGGGGCAGAGUCUUUUCCCCUUUGCUAUCAAGUUUUCCCAAAGCCCAGAUAAAUGUGUGUAAUAUACAGAAAUGCUAGGCACUGACAACCACUUUCAUGGUGAAAAAUGGGUGACAUCUCCAUGGAUAAGACAUCAUCACAAGUUUAUAAGUUUUUGAAAGCUAGAGAUUUUCCUGUGUCUCAUAAUCACUGAAUAAGAUGCAUAGAAAAAAGAGUAAAGUCAUGGAUGUCUAAAUGGCACUGUCUACUGAUGAGAAAAGGUGGGGAAAAAAUCCAUUUGAGCUGUGGCCCACACAAUCUGCUUUUGUUAGUCAUUUUUCUCUGCCCGCCACCAGACUGGAGGGGCCCAGAAAAUAAAUGAUGAGGGUGAGCUGACAUUAUUCUCAAGUCCAAACUGCUAGAAGUGAAAAACCUAUUACAGAACAUCACAGCCAGCAUCACGGGCAGCUUCUAUAACAUAAAGGGCCAUAAUAUGUUUUGAAAUGCAGUUCCUUUUACCUAAUACUCAUCUUGUUCUUAUGUCUAAAUUAUAAACAACUUGCAUCACAGUUCUCUUCUUUGGCUUUUAUCAGCUACUUACGAUGUCAAUGACCAUUUUCCUUAAAGAUUGUCUUUGUUUUUUGGUCAAAUUCUGGAAAAUGUCACAGUUUUCUUCCUGAAGCAAUUUAAAGCCCACAGCCAAAUGAUGGUUCUCUAAGACUGAGGAAUCAUUGUACAUCAAGGCAAGUUCAGAGUCUGUAAAAAAGACAAAAGGCCAAAGAUCAGCAAAACUGUUUGUGAGAAGUUUAUCUGAUUCUUAAAAUUCUGGAUUUAGGAUGUAAUUUCCCCUAAACUUCUCUGCUGCCCUUAUCAUUACCUGACAAUAUCCAGGAGAGAAUAAAUCAGAUAACAUAAGAGCAGGAACAACACUGGAAUGAAUCUUGGGGAGUGAAUUCUAAUGCUACUAACAUGUGGCAGGUCAUUUCACUCUGUAGGUCUCAGCUUUCUCUAAAGUGAAAGAAUUGGAUCUUUAACCUCUCCUCUAGAGUUGCCAUGAGCUCAGCAGAAUAUGACAUUAUUCUUAGUAUCUAUAACACAUCCAGAGCAUAAGGUUUUGUAUUCCUGAUAACUGUGAAUUACCUACCCUGCACUAUAUAAAGUGAGGAUCCUGUGUUACAGGAUUGUUUGUACUCAAAGAGGGUACAAGAACAAUAAGGAAUCAUAUGAACAAGUUUAGAUUUGCUCAUUUGCUCAUGUAUAGCUCUGAAAGUCCAAGCUUUAUUCAUUGUUUUCCAUUUUCUUUUCCAAGUAUCGUGGCAGUCAUUGUAUACUGUACAGGGAUAUUGCUCUUCCUGCCUGCUUGCUCACAGCUUCACAGUGAUGUUGUGUUUGGCUGUCUGUAUACCCUCUGGUGAAGAUUCUGCCACUCUCUCCCUACUGCCCUAGACCUGUGAAUUUUAGGCAGGGAGAGAUUCUGCCUCUCUCCUACUUCUUGUAAAUAGCAGACCCAGAGCUACAAGAUAAUCAUUAAAAAACUUUUGAUGCUUUAUUCUCUUUCCACUUAAUCACUGUAAAGACUAAAAGCAAAUCCGAGGCAGGAGGAUUGCUUAAGCCCAGGAGUUCAAG
rnacentral:lncRNA from 1 species